rnacentral:rRNA from 1 species
AUUGAACGCUGGCGGCAUGCCUUACACAUGCAAGUCGAACGGCAGCACGGGGGCAACCCUGGUGGCGAGUGGCGAACGGGUGAGUAAUGCAUCGGAACGUGUCCUCUUGUGGGGGAUAACCAGUCGAAAGAUUGGCUAAUACCGCAUGAGAUCGAGAGAUGAAAGCGGGGGACCCGAGGGUAACUUCGGGCCUCGCGCGAGAGGAGCGGCCGAUGCCGGAUUAGCUAGUUGGUGGGGUAAGAGCCUACCAAGGCGACGAUCCGUAGCUGGUCUGAGAGGACGACCAGCCACACUGGGACUGAGACACGGCCCAGACUCCUACGGGAGGCAGCAGUGGGGAAUUUUGGACAAUGGGCGCAAGCCUGAUCCAGCCAUGCCGCGUGUGUGAAGAAGGCCUGG